rnacentral:rRNA from 1 species
ACGAACGCUGGCGGCAUGCCUAACCCCUGCCAGUCGCACGAGACCUUCGGGUCUAGUGGCGCACGGGUGCGUAACGCGUGGGAACCUGCCCUUAGGUUCGGAAUAACUCCCCGAAAGGGGUGCUAAUACCGGAUAAUGUCUUCGGACCAAAGAUUUAUCGCCUUUGGAUGGGCCCGCGUUGGAUUAGCUAGUUGGUAGGGUAAAAGCCUACCAAGGCGACGAUCCAUAGCUGGUCUGAGAGGAUGAUCAGCCACACUGGGACUGAGACACGGCCCAGACUCCUACGGGAGGAAGCAGUGGGGAAUAUUGGACAAUGGGCGAAAGCCUGAUCCAGCAAUGCCGCGUGAGUGAUGAAGGCCUUAGGGUUGUAAAGCUCUUUUACCCGGGAUGAUAAUGACAGUACCGGGAGAAUAAGCUCCGGCUAACUCCGUG